CAAUAGCGUAUAUUAAAGUUGUUGCGGUUAAAAAGCUCGUAGUUGGAUUUCUGUUGAGGUUGUCCGGUCCAUCUUUCGGUGAGUAUCUGGUUCAGCCUUGGCAUCCUCCUGGGGAACGUGUCUGUGCUUGAUUGCAUGGCGCGGUAUUCAGGACUUUUACUUUGAGGAAAUUAGAGUGUUCACGGCAGGCGUUAGUCUUGAAUACAUUAGCAUGGAAUAAUAAUAUAGGACCUUGGUACUAUUUUGUUGGUUUCUAGAACUAAGGUAAUGAUUAAUAGGGAUAAUUGGGGGCAUUCGUAUUAACGCGUCAGAGGUGGAAUUCUUGGAUUGCGUUACGACGAACUACUGCGAAAGCAUUUGCCAAGGAUGUUUUCAUUGAUCAAGAACGAAAGUUAGGGGAUCGAAGACGAUUAGAUACCGU
rnacentral:rRNA from 1 species